UUCCCUGUGGUUCAGUUGGUAGAGCAUGGUGUUUGCAAUGCCAGCAUGGUGUGUGCAACGCCAGGGUUGUGGGUUCGAUUCCCACGGGGGACC
rnacentral:tRNA from 1 species